UAAUCCGCGCCCUUCACAGGUGUCGACCGGCGGCCUGGCCGGUCGGUGAAACGGGAAGCCGGUGCGGAUACCUUGUCCCAAUCCGGCGCUGCCCCCGCAACGGUGAUUGAGCCGAAACGUACCAAACGUUCCGAGGCGGAUUCCUCAAGCCACUGCGCGCCUGCGCGGGAAGGCGGAACACCGCCCGGCGUCAUGCCGCUCAUCAGCCCGGAGACCGGCCUGCGAUGACAUGAAGACC
rnacentral:ncRNA from 16 species